AGUGAACGCUGGCGGCAGGCCUAAUACAUGCAAGUCGAACGGCAGCACAGCAGAGCUUGCUCUGUGGGUGGCGAGUGGCGGACGGGUGAGGAAUACAUGGGAAUCUGCCCAGUCGUGGGGGAUAACGUAGGGAAACUUACGCUAAUACCGCAUGCGCCCUUCGGGGGAAAGCCGGGGACCUUCGGGCCUGGCGCGAUUGGAUGAGCCCAUGUCGGAUUAGCUAGUUGGCGGGGUAAAGGCCCACCAAGGCGACGAUCCGUAGCUGGUCUGAGAGGAUGAUCAGCCACACUGGAACUGAGACACGGUCCAGACUCCUACGGGAGGCAGCAGUAGGGAAUAUUGGACAAUGGGCGCAAGCCUGAUCCAGCCAUGCCGCGUGAGUGAAGAAGGCCCUCGGGUUGUAAAGCUCUUUUGUCCGGAAAGAAAAGCAUCCAGUUAAUACCUGGGUGUCCUGACGGUACCGGAAGAAUAAGCACCGGCUAACUUCGUGCCAGCCGCCGCGGUAA
rnacentral:rRNA from 1 species